GUAGGUGGCAAGCGUUGUCCGGAAUUAUUGGGGCGUAAAGCGCGCGCAGGUGGGUUCUUUAAGUCUGAUGUGAAAAGCCCCCGGGCUCAACCGGGGAGGGUCAUUGGAAACUGGGGAACUUGAGUGCAGGAGAGGAAAGUGGAAUUCCACGCGUAGCGGUGAAAUGCGUAGAUAUGUGGAGGAACACCAGUGGCGAAGGCGACUUUCUGGCCUGUAACUGACACUGAGGCGCGAAAGCGUGGGGAGCAAACAGGAUUAGAUACCCUGGUAGUCCACGCCGUAAACGAUGAGUGCUAAGUGUUGGGGGGUUUCCGCCCCUCAGUGCUGCAGCUAACGCAUUAAGCACUCCGCCUGGGGAGUACGGUCGCAAGACUGA
rnacentral:rRNA from 1 species